CAUCCGGUAGUGAUAUCCUUCGAGCGUUUACGCGCCUUGUUUAUGUGCAGUGCGCAUUGCGGAUAAUACACGCGAUUCGUGAAUUCAGUUGAAGGUACCGCGGCUCUGUAACGUGUCGCGCACCAACACUUAUCUCUCUUAUCAGUGAGAGAAAUGUAUUUUAUCAGUGCGCGAUAGCGAGGGCCCGAUAUUGCGAAUUUCUAUCUUGGCGAAUCGAUAAGCGUGCGAGUGUUACAGCUAAUUUCGUAGGUGAGGUGCGUCUUAGGCUUGUCUCCCUGUACAGAAAUAGCCUCCAUUCACCGAUAUGCGCGACACACGCCAUUUUCGUCGGACAUUACGCGUUCUGUUUCGUCUACGAUGAAUGGGAGUGUUUGUUGAUGACUUGUUGGCAAGUGACGGGAUUGUUUUUCAACGCUUGCAGUGAAACGACCGCAAUGAAACUAUGAGACGAAGUACGCGGCACGUCUAGUUCGACGGUUCCAACGAUAAAUUGUCAGGAAAUUUAUCGGUCAGCCGAUAAAUUAUUCAGGAAGUCGCAGAUAAGACGUUUCCAUAAGGUUAACAGGUAAGGGUGUCCUACAUCAAUACAUUGCCAUUGGAGCCUGCGUGUUUUCUCACACAGUUCUAAUUACCAAAGAGAAAUAUAAGGAAGCAGCAUCCAAAGGCACCUCAGUUGCAACGAGACACGGAACUUGGAAAGGGUGCCAUCGAGCCACAGUCAUGAAUCGCUCGGUGAUCGACCUUGGUGUUGGGAAACGCGCGCGUUCUUCCCGCGGCAACACCCGGUGCAUCGCGCAGCGGUUCAGCGACGCGUCCGUGCUUCCGUCGGCGGUUCAUUGCAAUCGCGUGAGAAGAUCUGCGGGCUGUUCCAGGACAAUACAAGCGGAAAAGCGCGAUUUUUUCUCGAGAUCAUCUCUAGCGCGCGCGUCGGGUCAAAAUGGCGGAAAGCACGGAUGCGCGCGCGCUGUCUCUUUCUCGCUCUUUCGCUCGCUCGCUUACUCGCGCUGCCCGUGGACCACCGUGUCGUGGUCGCAACUCAAGGUUGUUCGGUCGCGAAAAUAACACCGCGGCCCGCGGAAGGCGACAUGGAACCGCGUGCGGCGGGACCAACCUGUUUGCUGCGCGGCCACUUCGUGCAGUUGCAGCCUGUCGUCCUUGCCCGGGUUCACCUGGACGUCCGUCAUCCUCGCCGAGCUAGGCGGUGGUCGUUGGUGUCUACCUGGGCGAUCGCUCCUUUCCUCCCCUCGAGGUGCUUGCUCCGCACUCCUGCUCCGUUCGUCAAAGCACUCUUCCGCUGCGACGCCGCGCGCGCGCUGCGCCGACGACGUGAACCAGCUCGAUUAUAUACACGCGCGCGUAAAUACGUCAAGAACGAAGCUGUGCAACAACAGCGGGCCGCGACACAGGAGAACUCGAAGCGCGCGGCGCUCAAGACGCGUUUGAACUGACUGGCUGUCGGCCGCCGGCUCGCCGGGACCCAGCGCGAAGGCCCCACGCCUGCUUUGCGAAGCCUGCCGAACGCGUACGAACGAGCGCGUCUCGUCCACCCACGACGCCGCGCGCUUCAUCAUCAACGGGCUAGCAGGUAUGCAUGAUGACGACGCGCGCGCGCAAGAGAGAGAAGAGAGAGAUUGCGCGCGAUUGAAAUCCGCGCCUGUGACGAACUCUCGUGCGCGAUUUAUCGAUCGAGCCACCGACUCUCGCGGGAUGCUGAGUGCCGAUAUGCGCUGCGAUAGCCUGAAACGCCGGCUCCUCGAGCGACUUGGCUGGCGUGUCGCUCGUUCAAUUGAUUAAUCGGAUUAUUUGAAGAAAUGUGUGUGUGUGGGUGUGUGAACAACCGGCCGAUUGUCCAACCGCCAUCACUUCGCUCCAAAUCUCACGCCUGUGUAUCGUUUAGAUAUCUAACUGCAAUUAAUCUUCAUUAACACUUCCAACGCGGAUUCACUCAAAUUUUAUCGUUGCUGAUUUUUAAAUAUCUGCACGGAGAGAGAAUAGCAGAGCUGUUUUUCAUGUACGCUGGGGGAGAAAAUAUGUGAAAGAUAAAAAAUAUUUAUUUAGUGGCUAAUGUAAACAUGUUUAUCGAAAUUUAAAUUCUUUUUCAUAAUAACAAUUAUUUAAAUAGAUGAUAAUGUAAAUAAUAUUGUAACAUAAUAUAAAUAAUAAUAUAAAAUAAUUAUUUAAGCAGACAAAAAUAAUAAUUAUUAUUUAAAUAUAAUAAAUAGUAGUUUUCUUUUAUGACAAUUCUAAAGUUUUAAGAAAAUGAUAUUUUCUUAUUUAAAAAAUAUUUUGUAGUGUAAUAUAAGAGUAAGCUUUCAUUUCUUAAUUAUUUUUCUCUCAGGCUAUAAAUUCCUUUUACACAAUUUUACUAUGUUUCUUUACACAUUUCUCUCCGUGUGGUUUUCGGAUCAGGUAUUUAUCCAAAUAGCCCAAAAUCAUCCAAAAUGCGUCUAGAAUGUCCUGACGCGAAUGUUCUAUGAUGUCCUCAACACAUUCAGGGCGAUCUCAGAACGUUUGUGUUAUUUGGAUAUUGCCUCUAUUUCUCGAGUUAUCAUUUAAGUAGAGCAAGACAGUGUUGGUCAGACCAACUUUCUUGAAGUAGUCAGUAUUGUCAGUGUUGUCUUAUACUAUAAAGUCCAUAUUAAUCAAAUUUCUCAUCAUAAUUUGCUUGUGCAGUAAAUGUCGUGACAAGCAUGUAAUCAAUAAUAUUAACGGGGAAUGUAGUUGAUUGUAGACGGGACAUUUUUGAAAUAAUAAUCGGCGACUUUUAACCCUCUCUGAUAUUUCGAGAGGAACGAUUUAUUACAGUAACAAUAAGAAGUAAAUUAACACCGACCGUUUCAUUCGAUUUUGUACAAUGCUGCUCUAUUAAGAUAUCUUGUGUACUGUAUAUUUCACGUAGACGUUGUGUCGUAACAAUGUGUGAAACCGAAUCAAAUAACGACAUAGCAUGCACCCGUGAUAUGAAAUGUCAGGUCGUCGUACUUUCCUCCUUUUUCUUUUUGCACUCGAUAUUCGUAGAUUUUUCUUUUUUCCUGCUGCGCUUUCCGCGUCAAAUGUCGUUGACGUCUCGACGAUGUUGAUUUCAAGAUUGGAUUGCGAUUCACAUGCAAAUCGUGAAAUGAGUCCUCGUGUAAUCGUGCGAUGAACGAACGGGGGGAUGAGAAAGUGUGGCGAAUGUGACGAAUAUGGCAAAUGUGUGUCCUUCGUCGAUGCGGAGCGUGGCGGAUGGAUGCCGAUUGCACGGCCGAUCUUGUUGUUCAUUAGUUUUCAGGCCCCGCUGUCGCCCUCUCACAUAGUUUACGAAGGAA